rnacentral:rRNA from 1 species
AGAGUUUGAUCCUGGCUCAGGAUGAACGCUGGCGGUCUGCUUAACACAUGCAAGUCGAACGGGAUCCUUCGGGAUUUAGUGGCGGACGGGUGAGUAACGCGUGAGAAUCUGCCCUUAGGUUGGGGACAACAGUUGGAAACGACUGCUAAUACCCAAUGUGCCGAGAGGUGAAAGGUUAACUGCCUGGGGAUGAGCCCGCGUCUGAUUAGCUAGUUGGAGUGGUAACGGCACACCAAGGCGACGAUCAGUAGCUGGUCUGAGAGGAUGAUCAGCCACACUGGGACUGAGACACGGCCCAGACUCCUACGGGAGGCAGCAGUGGGGAAUUUUCCGCAAUGGGCGAAAGCCUGACGGAGCAAGACCGCGUGAGGGAGGAAGGCCUAUUGGUUGUAAACCUCUUUUGAUAGGGAAGAACACAAUGACGGUACCUAUCGAAUCAGCAUCGGCUAACUCCGUGCCAGCAGCCGCGGUAAUACGGAGGAUGCAAGCGUUAUCCGGAUUUAUUGGGCGUAAAGCGUCCGUAGGUGGCAAACCAAGUCAGUUGUUAAAGCGUAGAGCUUAACUCUAUAAGGGCAAUUGAAACUGGUUAGCUAGAGUGCGAUAGGGGCAAGGGGAAUUCCCAGUGUAGCGGUGAAAUGCGUAGAUAUUGGGAAGAACAUCGGUGGCGAAGGCGCCUUGCUGGGUCUGCACUGACACUGAGGGACGAAAGCUAGGGGAGCGAAAGGGAUUAGAUACCCCUGUAGUCCU